UCUCAUGGCGGGCGAUGUGGGGGAUCCCUGAUCCGCCGGUCUUUUUCCUAAGUUCAACCGGUAUGGCAACCCGCAUCGCCCGCCACCCCG
rnacentral:antisense_RNA from 1 species